AAUAUUGGUAAAUGGGGGCAACCCUGUCCCAGCCAUGCCGCGUGUGUGAAGAAGGUCUUCGUAUUGUAAAGCUCUCUUAGCUGGGAGGAAGGGCUUAAGGUUAAUACUCUGAAGUUUUGACGCCACCAUCAGUAUAAGCACCGGCUAACUCUGUGCCAGCAGCCGCGGUAAUAUAGUGGGUGCAAGCGUUAAUCGGAAUUACUGGGCGUAAAGCGCGCGUAGGUGGUUCAGUAAGAUGGGUGUGAAGUCCCCGGGCUUAACCUGGGCACUCCUUUCAUAACUGCUGAGCUAGAGUACGGUAGAGGGUAGUGGAAUUGCCUGUGUAGCGGAGAAAAGCGUAGAUAUAGGAAAGAACACCAGUGGCGAAGGCGACUACCUAGACUGAUACUGACGCUGAGGUGCAAAAGCGUGGGGAGCAAAC
rnacentral:rRNA from 1 species